rnacentral:rRNA from 1 species
GAUGAACGCUGGCGGCGUGCCUAAUACAUGCAAGUCGAGCGAACAGACGAGGAGCUUGCUCCUCUGACGUUAGCGGCGGACGGGUGAGUAACACGUGGAUAACCUACCUAUAAGACUGGGAUAACUUCGGGAAACCGGAGCUAAUACCGGAUAAUAUAUUGAACCGCAUGGUUCAAUAGUGAAAGACGGUUUUGCUGUCACUUAUAGAUGGAUCCGCGCCGCAUUAGCUAGUUGGUAAGGUAACAGCUUACCAAGGCAACGAUGCGUAGCCGACCUGAGAGGGUGAUCGGCCACACUGGAACUGAGACACGGUCCAGACUCCUACGGGAGGCAGCAGUAGGGAAUCUUCCGCAAUGAGCGAAAGCCUGACGGAGCAACGCCGCGUGAGUGAUGAAGGUCUUCGGAUCGUAAAACUCUGUUAUUAGGGAAGAACAAAUGUGUAAGUAACUAUGCACGUCUUGACGGUACCUAAUCAGAAAGCCACGGCUAACUACGUG